rnacentral:rRNA from 1 species
GGGGUCAGUAGGUUGGUCGUGCCACCGGUACGUACUGGUCUCGCUGAUUCCUCCUUCCUGAAGAACCGUAAUGCCAUUAAUUUGGUGUUGCGGGGAAACAGGACUGUUACUUUGAAAAAAUUAGAGUGUUUAAAGCAAGCUAACGCUUGAAUACAUUAGCAUGGAGUAAUGAAAUAGGACGAUCGAUCCUAUUUUGUUGGUUUCUAGGAUUGACGUA